rnacentral:sRNA from 1 species
AAUGGCUGCCACUACGAUGGUGGAAAUCACUGCAGUAACGACAACGCCCUCACUUCCUCCUCUAACGGCGUUGGUGGCGGUGUUGUCUCCUCCCACACACCCCAUGGUGAAUUCUUAUAAUUUCGAAACCCUAAAACGUAAAAUUGGGAAUUUUGAUUGAUUAUUGGUUUCACAUUGAAGCUGAUUGGGAAACAUACCUCACAUGCGUUUUGCUUCAUCUGCACAACUGUACGGUGUUUCUGGAAUUACGGUUCCGUGAGAAAUGAGAGAGGGGCUGAGAUCACGACCGCGAUUGGGGACAAUUUCUGGAGACGAAGAAGUUGUUAGCAAGAAAAAGGUUGUUGUGAAGAGCGAGGCUAAUGCUAAGGAUGGUGAGGGUUUGAAGGUGUAGAACUCAACGAUUGAGAAGAAGGAUGAAGUUGCACGUGAUGUUAAAGAAGAAUGUGGUUUUGAUUUGAAUGUGAGUGCAAGUGGAGAGGUUGACUUGGAAGAGAAUGCGAGUGGUAUUGGUUGUGGGUGAAAGACGAGUUUGGGAUUCUGGAGGGGAAAGACGAGCUUGACAGUGCCUUCCUGAUUUUAUGGGUUUUGGAAAUUCUUGUUGUGAGGUGAUGAAGAUGGUGGUUGAACGGUGUUAAUGUGAAGCUCCAAUCACAUUUUCCCCUUCGAUUUCUCAAUUGUAGAAGAAGGGGUUGUCCUUAAUUAAAUUUGAUUUCCCCUCUUU